rnacentral:tRNA from 1 species
UGGGGUGUGGCUCACCGGCAGAGCACUUGGCUAGUAUGCGUGAGGCCCUGGGUUUGAUCCCCAGCACCCUAA